GUUUGAUCCUGGCUCAGGAUGAACGCUAGCGGCAGGCUUAAUACAUGCAAGUCGAACGGGAUUCGGGGUAGCAAUACUUUGAUGAGAGUGGCGCACGGGUGCGUAACGCGUAUGCAACCUACCUUUAACAGGGGAAUAGCCCCGAGAAAUCGGGAUUAAUACUCCGUAACAUUGCGGUGUGGCAUCACACUGCACUUAAAGCUGAGGCGGUUAAAGAUGGGCAUGCGUGACAUUAGCUAGUUGGUGAGGUAACGGCUCACCAAGGCAACGAUGUCUAGGGGUCCUGAGAGGGUUAUCCCCCACACUGGUACUGAGACACGGACCAGACUCCUACGGGAGGCAGCAGUAAGGAAUAUUGGUCAAUGGGCGCAAGCCUGAACCAGCCAUGCCGCGUGCAGGAAGACGGCCCUAUGGGUUGUAAACUGCUUUUGUCAGGGAAUAAACCCCCGCUCGUGAGCGGGGCUGAAGGUACCUGAAGAAUAAGCAUCGGCUAACUCCGUGCCAGCAGCCGCGGUAAUACGGAGGAUGCAAGCGUUAUCCGGAUUCAUUGGGUUUAAAGGGUGCGCAGGCGGAUUGGUAAGUCAGGGGUGAAAUCCCACAGCUCAACUGUGGAACUGCCUUUGAUACUGUCAGUCUAGAGUAUAGUUGAAGUUGGCGGAAUGUGUCAUGUAGCGGUGAAAUGCUUAGAUAUGACACAGAACACCGAUCGCGAAGGCAGCUAGCUAAGCUAUAACUGACGCUCAUGCACGAAAGCGUGGGGAUCAAACAGGAUUAGAUACCCUGGUAGUCCACGCUGUAAACGAUGAUUACUCGAUGUUGGCGAUACACAGUCAGCGUCUGAGCGAAAGCAAUAAGUAAUCCACCUGGGGAGUACGAUCGCAAGAUUGAAACUCAAAGGAAUUGACGGGGGCCCGCACAAGCGGAGGAGCAUGUGGUUUAAUUCGAUGA
rnacentral:rRNA from 1 species